UACGUAGGGUGCGAGCGUUAAUCGGAAUUACUGGGCGUAAAGCGUGCGCAGGCGGUUCGUUGUGUCGGUGGUGAAAGCCCCGGGCUUAACCUGGGAAUGGCCAUGGAAACUGGCGAACUGGAGUAUUGCAGGGGAGACUGGAAUUCCUGGUGUAGCGGUGAAAUGCGCAGAUAUCAGGAGGAACACCGGUGGCGAAGGCGGGUCUCUGGGCAAUAACUGACGCUGAGGAGCGAAAGCGUGGGGAGCGAACAGG
rnacentral:rRNA from 1 species